rnacentral:rRNA from 1 species
GACGAACGCUGGCGGCGUGCUUAACACAUGCAAGUCGAACGCUGAAGCUCAGCUUUUGUUGGGUGGAUGAGUGGCGAACGGGAGAGUAACACGUGAGUAACCUGCCUCCUUCUUUGGGAUAACGCCCGGAAACGGGUGCUAAUACUGGAUAUUCACUGGUCUUCGCAUGGGGGUUGGUGGAAAGGGUUUUUCUGGUGGGGGAUGGGCUCGCGGCCUAUCAGCUUGUUGGUGGGGUGAUGGCCUACCAAGGCUUUGACGGGUAGCCGGCCUGAGAGGGUGACCGGUCACAUUGGGACUGAGAUACGGCCCAGACUCCUACGGGAGGCAGCAGUGGGGAAUAUUGCACAAUGGGCGCAAGCCUGAUGCAGCGACGCCGCGUGAGGGAUGGAGGCCUUCGGGUUGUGAACCUCUUUCGCUCAUGGUCAAGCCGCAACAAUGGUUGUGGUGAGGGUAGUGGGUAAAGAAGCGCCGGCUAACUACGUG